rnacentral:misc_RNA from 1 species
UGAAAUGCGAUAAGUAAUGUGAAUUGCAUAAAUCUGUGAAUCAUUAAAUCUUUGAACGCACCUUGCGCACAUUGGGACAUCCAAUGAGCAUACCUGUCUGAGAAUUGAAACUACUGUUGUUAUUUUAUUUGUGGUAUAAGAAUAAAAGUAUUUUAUUCUAGUCCAUGAAUGAAAUGCAGAAUUUGGGUUCAGACAUAGUUUGUUCUCUUAAAUGAAGAAAACGACGGUGAUUAUUCAUCAUAGUCAAAGACGCGGUAAUCUGACGUCAACAACUAUGUGGAUACUCCCGUGCAGUCAUCCUCACUCAACUCCAAUCUCAGAUCAGGCAGGAUCACCCGCUGAACUUAA